AACCCUAACUGUUAGCCUUCUCCUUAGCCAAACUAACCUUAGCCGACCCCUCUGCCAUCACCUGAACCCCUCCCCGACACCACCGCGCGCGUCACGGCCGCCGGUGAGCAGCCCCGGCCGCCGGAAAAGCCAUCCCGACCUUACAUUCACCUUCCUCUCUCUCCAUCUUCCUCCCUCAUCCUCUUUCUCUCGGGUUAGAGCUAGGCCGAGGCUACAUCACCUCCAGACCCUUCGCCGGCAUCGCCCCGUGCCCCGGCGAGCCUUCCCGCCGGCCGUCGCCGCCUUUCUGCGCCGCCGCUGCUGGUUCUGCAGCAUGCGACUACCCCAGCCCGAACCCAGGCCGAGGCAGCCCCAUCUCCCUCUCCUCGCACCACUGCUGCCAUAGCUCGGCAGCGCCGCCAUCUCCGGAGCCCC
rnacentral:lncRNA from 1 species